rnacentral:lncRNA from 1 species
CCCUUUGUCGCGUCUUCCCUUCGUUUCAUUUCUUCUUCUUUUUUUCUUCUUUUUUUGUUUUUGAAACACUUUCCUUGCACUACUUUAUUCCUGUUUCAAACAAAGAAAAUUUUGUCAGUUUUGAAAGUGGUGGACGGUUUGUGGCCUUGAUCUUGAGCAGCUUGGCCUUUGCUCGAUUAACUUGAGUUGGUUUCAAGAGACUUUUCUCUGUAUCAACCCUAAUUGUUUCACACCCAGUAUCAUUUGUACUUGUGGCUUAAUCAGCCUUAUCCCAACUGGAAAUCUUCUUUUAGGUGACCUUUUCUGAUAUCUUGAAUGACUUUCUCCUUUUGAGAAAUUUGUCUGUCAGAGAGAAUCACCAGUUAUCUUUGCUCGCGCCCAGUAGGCUGACAAGAGUCUUUUGGGGAAGCCUUUGCAUGAAUCCUCAAGGUACAUUGACCGUAACAAUUGAGUGUGCUGGCCAAAUUUACUUUAUGCAACUGAAACACUGGUAGCAGAUUUUGAAAUCUUUUCUUGCAUGUUUUGACAAGGACUUACUGAGAAUGAAUGACACAAUGAUGCAAAGAAAUAAAUAUUAACAAGAAAUGCCCCUAUCGGAAGAACAGAAGGAAGAAUUGUUUUCAAUAACUAGCCUUAAUGGUCAUGACAUGCAUUUUGGACUCAACGUCCUGAUCUAUUAAACUAAUCCAAUUUUCCCUUUUAUCAUUCUUAUGACCUUUAAAGUCGGGCUUGUUCGUGUCAAUUCUUUGCAUCAGCUUCACAACUCACUUUUGACUAGUGGUGCCCCGAAGGGUUUCCACUAAUAAGUCUCUCUCAUUUGUUCAUCUCUGCUUACCGCUGCCUUACAGUGCCUGUGAGGGUUUUCACUACUAAUACUCUCUCAUUUUUCUCUUUUUUGUGAGCAACUUGACAGUGUUUUAUGUCGCGUGACAACUGUUGCUCAUUGCAUGCGUCUCUUGGCAUUAUUAAAGGCUGAUCAAGAGGUGUUUAUUUGGAAAGUUUUUUGAUAGGGUUGGAAAGAAGGGACGACAUGAAGGCUCAAAACAGACUAAAGAUAACGGGGUUGUAUACUUACAACUCUUGGUAUCGCCUCGUUUAAAAAUUAUAACAAACUCAUGCCUAGUUUCAGAUACUAGGGAGUUUUUUUUCUCUUUUUCUUUUUCCUUUUUUUUGAAUUGUUAUUGGGGUUAGACCAAACCGUGAGGCUGCCUACGUAUCCUUUUUUUAAGGAAUCAGGUCAAACGUAGUUCAAACAUCUGACCUAACUAUUUUUCAUCUUUCUUUCUGUUUCUUUUUUUUCUUCCUUUACAAAACAAGUUGCCCCAACUCUUAUUUUCUAGGCGCAUGGGCUUUUGACUAUUCUUUUCUUCUUCUUUUUUCAUUUGAACUUUCUAAAAGCUGCCCCAAUUUGUACUCUUGGGGCAUGAACCUUUAUUGUUAUUAUUUUCUUUUUUCCUUUUUUUUGGAAUUUUGACUCUAAAUCUGAUUCCAAAAGAGGGUGGUCAAAGAAAAUAACAUAGGCUCAAAAGGGGUAACAAAGGGUAUAAUGUGUUUGGGUAGCAGAAAAAAAGCCUCCUAACCUCGAGAACGCCAAUUAUAGUAUCCUUUCGCGAUCACAGCAUUGACGAACAUGUCUGUCUUCUUAGUGUGUCGUGGUCACAAGACACUUUCUAUCCCUUAGUGUCAAGCUUUCCAACAAACUUCAAUUGAUUAAACAUACUCAAGCCCGAUCUUCACAAUGAUUUGAAGGUGAAUUUUCUUAUCCUCCAAGGGUUUGACUAUUCUAGUUCACUUGAAUUUUACUCGGGCUUAAUUCCAAGGUAUUUCAACUCUUUUUCAUCCUCAAAAGUGCCUUUUCCUCAGUUGUCCAAUUGAAGCUUAAAUCAACAUUCUAAGAUCUGGCCAAAAAUUUCGCAUGCAUGUCAUGUCACUAAAACUAGCGUGAAAAGAACUAUGCACAAAAUGACUGACUACUUUUUAUUGAUUAAAGGAUAGCAGGGUCUGAUAAUACAAAAAGAAGAAGAAAAAACGACAAAAUAAUCUACCAUGGCUAAUGGAGGAGUGACUUUCCAGUUACUAAGCGACAUCUUAGCCACACAUUCGCACAUCAACAUUACUACGACAUUUGACCAUUUUAAUUAUUUUAGAUUCAACACUCAAAUUUUGACAAUCAUCCCGAGUAGCCCAUGUUCUAAUGCUCAAAUCGGGUAAAGUCAACCCCACAUUUGCCUCCAUUUUUUUUAUUUUUCACCGCCAACUUGCCUUUUUGUGACCUUGGAUCAACAACAAUGGUGCUUGCUCCAUCGGUUGAGAAGAUGCUUUUAUUUCCGAGACAUCGUGGAUGGUUUUUGUGACUCGCCAUUGCAAACCAACAAACCGACCACCUUUGACUAGCUUUUAUUUCAAAACAACAACCAUGUUAGAAUAAAUACUCUUUCUUUCCUUUUUUUCUCUUUUCCUUUUUUUUUGUUUUCUCUCCUUUCUCCUUUUUUUUUGGUUUUUCUUUCUUUUUGUUUUCUUUUAUUUUUUUGUUUUUUGUUUUUAACCAUUCAAUCGAACCUGAUGUAGGUUACUUAUGUAUUAUGUGGGAACAUGAAUCAGAUCUUGCGUAGUUCGGGAAGAUCAUGAAUAAAGUAAAUAAACUAAUUUUUUUUGGAAUUUUGAUUUUUUUUAAUUUCCGAAGAAAGACUUAUAAAGAAGAAAGAAAAUAUUUUUGGAUUUCGAUUUUUUUAAAUUUUUUUUUUUUCGAAAAUAAAGACUUCNNNNNNNNNNNNNNNNNNNNNNNNNUUUUUUAAUUUCCGAAGAAAGACUUAUAAAGAAGAAAGAAAAUAUUUUUGGAUUUCGAUUUUUUUAAAGUUUUUUUUUUUUUGAAAAUAAAGACUUCUAAAGAAGAAAGAUUUUUUUUGAAUUUUUGUACUUUUAUUUUGAAUUUAUGAAAGAAAUACUUCUAAAGAAAAAAGAAAAUAUUUUUGCAUCAUGAAUUUACUUUUCAAUUUUUGAAUGAAGAAUGAAAAUAUUUUUGAAUUUUGAGAAGAAAUUAAAAAAAAUAUUUUUGUAUAUUUUAAAAAUUGGGAACUAAAAGAAAGACUUUCUAAAGGAGGAAGUAAUGGAAAAUUUUUUUGAAUUUUUUUUUGAAAAUUGGGGCCGGAAUCGAUGAGGUUUGCCUACGUAUCUCACAUCCGGUGAGAAUCAGACCCGCGUAAUUCGGUCAGUUUUGACAUAAUUAAAAAAACAUGAUAUUGACUCACUUUCAAUUGUUUUGAAAUAUAUUUUCUUUUCUGUUUUUUUCUUCAAAAUUUUGGCAGAGUUUCGAGGUAUUUUCAAAUACCGGUAUUUUCAGAAUCGGGUGAAUUCUCUAUCCUACCUCACUCUUGGUUUUUCUAUUGUUUUUCUUUCCUUAGCCAAUCAACAAACAAACCGAAUCAAAUAAAUGUACAAAUAGCAUGUAAGAUGCAUCAGCAUGGUCUUUCAUUUCGAGUACACCUGUCCUAGACGGACUCAACCCCUGUGUUGAGUCCCCAAAGUCAAAUGCACAUGAUGCAGACAAACGUCCUACUAGGGAUCCGACAUGAGGUUAUGUUUUUCUAGGUUUAAACUUGAGGUUGUGUUCUAAACCUGACUUACCCAAGCGGGCAGCUCGAGCCGAGGUGGGGGCGACGUACCGGGAGCACGAAAGUCUACCCGACCUUAUUGUUGACCCAAGCCUUGUUCUAUUUGGUAUGACUUCUAACAAAAAAGUGGGUCACGCGUACGUGUGCCCAUAUUUUUAGAAGACUCGGAAGGGAGGCGUAAUGAGACAGUUUUAAUACAGUUCAACUAAUAUUAAAGCAGUAAAUGAGCGGCAAUUAGCACAAUAGGUCCACAAAUAUAAUAAUAUUAAUAAACAAUAAAGCCAAGCAUAGAUCAUAUUAACAAGCUCAAAUUCUGAAUCCCGAACCAGAGAUUCGGGGUUCUUAUCCCCAGUAAAGUCGCCAGAGGUGUCACACCUCUUUUUUCUACCCCGGAAAGGGGGUAUAAGGGAGUUUUUCAAUUAAAGUCACAAUAACCGAAAGGAGAUUAUUUAUUCAAAUUAAAAGUCACCACUUGGGAUAAUUUAUGGUGUCCCAAGUCACUGGUUUAAAAUCCCUAAUCGAGGAAGUUGACCUUGUUUAUAGUCCGCGAAACACAGAAAUCCGGGUAAGGAAUUCUAUUAAUCGGGGAGAAGGUGUUAGACAUUUUCGAGUUUCGUGGUUCUAGUAUGGUCACUUUAAUAAUUAUAUCUGGCUUAAUAAAUUUGUUUAAUUACAUAUUUUAGAACCUAUGUAAACUUUUACCUUUUACCACUUUUUAAUUUGAAACGAAUCACGCAUACGUAUAUUCAUUUGUUUGAUUAUUCAUAGUUAUGGAAUUAUCUUAAAACGAGUCACGUGUACGUGUACUCAUUUCGUCUGGCGUCAAGAAUCAUGUCACGCAUAUGUGUCCACAAUUAAUCAUGCUUUAUUAAUAUUAAGAAAGUUUGGCCAAAGUUGUGCGAACGCAUACCUAGCUCGAUUUAUUUUAAAAAUCGUAAUUAUGUCACGCGAACGUGUACACAAUCACGAUGAUUUAUUAAGUCACGCGUAAAGCAUUUUAUACGAAUGUUCAUUAUCUAUUUUCCUAAAGCUAAUUAAUCCUAAUAGGGUACAUCGCAUCUUAAUAAGAUGACACACUUUGUUUAUAUUACUAAAAUUAUUUCAUUGUUUGCCUUACAUUAGAUGUUACUGUACACGUUAGCCUAGUGUAAAACUGUAGUCUUCAAAGAUCUUACAUGAUAGCUUUGCCCCAUUUUUUUUUACACCUAAAUGGAAACUAUUAUUGAUAUGAAAUAUCCCUUUCACUAAAUACACGUAACAAUGGGUAAAUAGGCAGCUGCCUAAUUGCUAUAUAAUUCCAUCUAGCUAAAAGACUAAACAUCGAACCCCUCUUGGCCUCAAAAACUGUACUCUAUAACUUUGCCCUCAUUCCCAAUAUUUAUAAUCAUUUGCAUUUAAACUACAAAUAAAAGAGUCACAACCAAUAUUAAUAAAACUAAAAAAAAAAAAACUGACACCAUUUUAAUAUGCUUAACACAUCAAAUCCAGUAGACAUCCUAGAAAACAACAUAGUAAACUAAAGAAAAGGCAUUCCAUCACAAAAUAAGCACAAACUUGAUUUAACAUUUAUUAAAAUUAACAAUAAUGUAUAAAGUUAAGAACAAGUUUGAGAGGCGGACCUUUUGAUAAAAUUAUCUCCAAAGCAAAUUGUAUAGCAACAAAGACAAACUCCGACAAAAAGUUAAUGACCACUGAAUCAUAGAACCAUGACCGAGACUCCAACGAUGGCGGCGAACUCGACGGACGGAACUUUAGUGCAACUUCACUGUAGCGGCAGUUUUGUUGAAAGGAAGUGUCGUCGUUUCUUUGGAUUUUCCUGCUGGAAAUCUAAGAAAGAAAGGGGUCGGGCGGCUGUGUUCGCACAAAAUGUGAGGAGUCUAUUUUUCUACCUUUUUUUUGGGAUUAUGUUUGUUUAUUCUAAUUGUUGGUUUUUUGCAGAGAUUUGUUUGUUCCUUUUGUUUUAUAUCAUAAAGUAAGAAUGAGGGAGCUGAGAGGGGAACAAUGGAGUUAUGAAGGGAGGCGAGAGAGAUUUUGUGGAAUGUAAUUAAAUUCUUUUCCAAUCACAUCCUUUUGGAGAGAGGGAAACGGCUG